GCCGUAAGGCACUUGAACGCCCCUUCGACGACGAGUUGCAUGUGUGUGGUAUGUGUCAGAAUCUGGUGAAGCUUUCUGCAUGUGAUGUGCCUUGUGUGGAUCCGUGGCCAUUGCAUUGUGUCUGGUGUGUAGGUACCCAGACACUUAGAACGCUUGCGCGGAAAGCAAACUCGAUCGUUGUACACUUUGAUGGGCAACCAUCACUGUGUCUCCGUGCCGUGCUAGAUCUCCCCUAGCCGUAAGGCACUUUGAACGCCCCUUCGACGACGAGUUACAAGAGUGUGGUAUGUGUCAUAAUCUGGUGAAGCUUUCUGCAUGUGAUGUGCCUUGUGUGGAUCCGUGGCCAUUGCAUUGUGUCUGGUGUGUAGGUACCCAGACACUUAAGCAAACUCGAUCGUUGUACACUGUGAUGGGCGAGCAUCACUGUGUAUCCGUGCCGUGUAAGAGCUCCCCUGGCCAUCAGGCACUUGAAAGGUCCUUCGACGACGAGUUACAAUAGUGGUGUGUUAGAUACGUCAGAUUACGGUGUCUACUAGUGUGCAAUACGUAUCCGGCUACGGCACGGAACGAACGGGAACUGUGGUGCAGACAAACAAGAGUUAAGCCUAUUAGUCAUUAACUCUAAGGACGGGGCCAUGGGGCGGUACACAAAGGAUACGGAUGAGCGAGUAUGCAGGCCCAAUACUCAAUAGCUCGAUCCGAUCCAAGCACAUGAGUUGACUGCGGCGCCAGGUUAACCGAUGUGCUAAGAGAGUUGUUCCUGGGCCUUCAAAGUGACUUCAAAACUAUCUUAGCGAAUGGUGGCCAUGGGCGUAGACAUGAGCCACAAGUCACAAGGCCUGGGACUAUUGGGUAAUAAAGACAACUUAGUCAGAAAGUUAGUCUUUGGAC